ACACUAAACUUUACUAUACAUACAAUACUCUAAAUAUAAACUUCAAAACUAAAAUUUGAAAAAUUUAACUACAAAUCUUAGACCUAAUAUUCAAAUCUAAUAUUUUCAUACUCUGAUCCAAAAUCUUAAAUCAUAGUCUUGAUAUUAAUCAAAUAUUUUCAAACUUAAACAUCAAUUCUUAAAAUAAAUAUAAACUUAUUAAGUUCAAAAAAGAAAACUCUAAACUUAAAUUAUAAACUCGAAAAUACAAAAUUUUAUAUAAGAUAUAACUAAGAAAAUUUACUUAGAAAACAAAUUAUCAAAUAUUUAAAAAUAAAACAAAAAUAAAAAUAGAAAAAGAAAGACAAAAUUUCUGGCCAAUCAGAUUCAAAUACAUAGAUCACACUCUUAACCAUUGGAUUAACUUAGAUCUAAAGGUAGAGAUUUAUUCAAUUUAAUUUUUAUUUUUUUCUUCUCUCUCUCCCUCCCUCUCUCACGACAGUUCUCAUCUCUUUCUCUGCUUUUUUUUUUCCAAUUCUCUCUUCUCCA
rnacentral:lncRNA from 1 species